CCUACGGGAGGCAGCAGUGGGGAAUAUUGCGCAAUGGGCGAAAGCCUGACGCAGCGACGCCGCGUGAGGGAUGAAGGUCUUCGGAUCGUAAACCUCUGUCAGCAGGGAAGAACGGUCACUGUGCUAAUCAGCAGUGAAUUGACGGUACCUGCAAAGGAAGCACCGGCUAACUCCGUGCCAGCAGCCGCGGUAAUACGGAGGGUGCGAGCGUUAAUCGGAAUUACUGGGCGUAAAGCGCACGUAGGCGGUAUGUCAAGUCAAGGGUGAAAUCCCCGCGCUCAACGGGGGAACUGCCUUUGAAACUGGCAAACUGGAGUGUGGGAGAGGGGGGUGGAAUUCCAGGUGUAGGAGUGAAAUCCGUAGAGAUCUGGAGGAACAUCAGUGGCGAAGGCGACUAUCUGGAACAUAACUGACGCUGAGGAGCGAAAGCGUGGGUAGCAAACAGGAUUAGAUACCCUGGUAGUC
rnacentral:rRNA from 1 species